rnacentral:rRNA from 1 species
UGUUGUUGCGGUUAAAAGCCCGUAGUUGGAUUUGAGAUCACUGUCUCUGGAUUCUACUCUGGGGUUUCCUGGAGACCAGAAUCCAAGAAAUGGCGGUGAUCUGUUUGAUGCGGGAAUGGACCUCUGCCGACCACCUCUUCGGGGGUGUAAGGCAACUUCGGAGUCUCGACGCUCCAAAGAGGCGCCCGCAGUCGUCACUGUGAGUAAAUCAGAGUGUUCAAGGCAACUCUUUGUUGAGUUGAAUGUCAAAGCAUGGAAUGACAAGGGAUCGACCACUGAUUGGCCUCUUUUUGUUGGUUUUUAACCAUCAGUGAGGUAAAUCUGUGGAAGGGCUUUUCGCUCCAGAGACUUCGGUCUUCUGGACGAACCCUUCUGCGCACGGGAUCAAUAGGAGCACAGGGGGCCGUGAGUACUGGAGGGUGAGUGGUGAAAUACUGAGACCCCUCCAAGACUGACAUCAGCGAAAGCACUCGGCUAUUGUGCUUUCAUUAAUCAAGGACGAGAGAUAGGGGAUCGAAGAGGAUUAGACACCCUCGUAGUCCUUUCCUUAAAUUCUGCAGACUUGGGAUCGGUCAGCGUCCAUCAUCUUGACCUGAUCGGCACCUUCCUUCCCCACCGAGAAAUCAAA